UACCUGAAAGUGAUGAAAAAUAAACGGAUUAUUACAUAUCCGAGAGCGCAAAAACCAUGUGGAUAUUGCCGUUGCCUUCCUUCUGAUUCAGGU